CUAGCGACUUCAGAGUUUGAUCCUGGCUCAGGAUGAACGCUGGCGGCGUGCCUAACACAUGCAAGUCGAGCGGAGAUGUUGAGAGAUUCUUCGGAUGAUUUCUUCAUCUUAGCGGCGGAUGGGUGAGUAACACGUGGGUAACCUGCCCUGCACAGGGGGAUAACAGCUGGAAACGGCUGUUAAUACCGCAUAUGCACACGCUGCCGCAUGGCAGAGGGUGGAAAGAUUUAUCGGUGCAGGAUGGGCCCGCGUCGGAUUAACUAGUUGGCAGGGUAACGGCCUACCAAGGUGAUGAUCCGUAGCCGACCUGAGAGGGUGACCGGCCACAUUGGGACUGAGACACGGCCCAA
rnacentral:rRNA from 1 species